rnacentral:rRNA from 1 species
GAUGAACGCUAGCGGCAGGCUUAAUACAUGCAAGUCGAACGGUAAGUUUGGUAGCAAUAUCAAACCAAGAGUGACGUACGGGUGCGUAACACGUAUGCAACCUACCUUGUACAGGAGUAUAGCUCGGGGAAACUCGAAUUAACCCUCCAUGAGAUCAUAGAAUGGCAUCAUUUAGUGAUUAAAACUCAGGUGGUACAAGAUGGGCAUGCGUCUGA